GACGAACCGUCCAAACGUUAUUCGGAAUCACUGGGCUUACAGAGUUCGUAGGCGGUCUGGAAAGUUGGGUGUGAAAUCCCUCGGCUUAACCGAGGAACUGCGCUUGAAACUACCAGACUCGAGGGGGAUAGAGGAAAGCGGAACUGAUGGUGGAGCGGUGAAAUGCGUUGAUAUCAUCAGGAACACCGGUGGCGAAGGCGGCUUUCUGGGUCUUACCUGACGCUGAGGAACGAAAGCCAGGGGAGCGAACGGG
rnacentral:rRNA from 1 species